GAUGAACGCUGGCGGCGUGCUUAACACAUGCAAGUCGAACGAUGAAGCCCAGCUUGCUGGGUGGAUUAGUGGCGAACGGGUGAGUAACACGUGAGUAACCUGCCCUUAACUCUGGGAUAAGCCUGGGAAACUGGGUCUAAUACCGGAUAGGAGCGUCCACCGCAUGGUGGGUGUUGGAAAGAUUUAUCGGUUUUGGAUGGACUCGCGGCCUAUCAGCUUGUUGGUGAGGUAAUGGCUCACCAAGGCGACGACGGGUAGCCGGCCUGAGAGGGUGACCGGCCACACUGGGACUGAGACACGGCCCAGACUCCUACGGGAGGCAGAAGUGGGGAAUAUUGCACAAUGGGCGAAAGCCUGAUGCAGCGACGCCGCGUGAGGGAUGACGGCCUUCGGGUUGUAAACCUCUUUCAGUAGGGAAGAAGCGAAAGUGACGGUACCUGCAGAAGAAGCACCGGCUAACUACGUG
rnacentral:rRNA from 1 species